rnacentral:rRNA from 1 species
GAUGAACGCUGGCGGCGUGCCUAAUACAUGCAAGUCGAGCGAACAGACGAGGAGCUUGCUCCUCUGACGUUAGCGGCGAACGGGUGAGUAACACGUGGAUAACCUACCUAUAAGACUGGGAUAACUUCGGGAAACCGGAGCUAAUACCGGAUAAUAUAUUGAACCGCAUGGUUCAAUAGUGAAAGACAGUUUUGCUGUCACUUAUAGAUGGAUCCGCGCCGCAUUAGCUAGUUGGUAAGGUAACGGCUUACCAAGGCGACGAUGCGUAGCCGACCUGAGAGGGUGAUCGGCCACACUGGAACUGAGACACGGUCCAGACUCCUACGGGAGGCAGCAGUAGGGAAUCUUCCGCAAUGGGCGAAAGCCUGACGGAGCAACGCCGCGUGAGUGAUGAAGGUCUUCGGAUCGUAAAACUCUGUUAUUAGGGAAGAACAAAUGUGUAAGUAACUAUGCACGUCUUGACGGUACCUAAUCAGAAAGCCACGGCUAACUACGUG